AUAAAGGUUAACUGGCUGUGAGAAUCUUGAAACACGGCCCCUAGCAUCCAGAACCCCUACUAGGUUCUAGAGCCCGAAUGUGCAGCUACUGCUUGGAAAAUCAGCUUUAAAUGGACUUGAGCUGAUCAAAUGAACCCACAAUGUAGAGGCAGGCAGGGGCUAAUUUCCUACUUGAAAGUAGGAAGGACACAAGGAAAUAAUUUUCAAAAUCAAAUAAAAAGAGAAUCUGACCCAACACCUUCAUUCUGACCCAUUUGUAGUGGGUUGUCUAUGAUCUCGGGGUGGAUUCUGGAAAUGGGCACAGUGAAAUGCCUGGCAACCAUCUACGCAUGUGACCAACUUCACUAUCUCCCCUCCCACAUCAAUGCCAAUUUAAAAAUGCAAAUUCUCAUGUGGCCUAGAUUCCUUUCGAUGUGGUGAGACAUUUUACUUCAUUCUGGCUACAGUUAAUUGUAUAAAAUGAGCCAGAAAUUCUAAAAUAAUUUCCAGUAAAUCCAAACCUUGCCAAUGAUUAAAAGCAGAAACAAAACAAAACAAAAACAACAACAACAAAAAAACAAAAGCAAACCCCCAAAGUCUUUGAACAGCAAUGUGCUGAGAUCUGUGUCUGUGGGGAGAAGCAUUUGCUGCCACACCACGUUCUCUUUAUAGCCCCACCUGGGCAAGCGUGAGUGCAGCUCUACUUGGAAAACCAACAGAAACCGAACCAAGUGUGAGAGGAAAUCACAGCCAAAAGGAGCUGAUGCAGGGACACGCUCUGCCUUUUAAGUAACUCCAUCUAAACAGCACUAGCACAUCUGAUCAACUGUCAAUUUGGGCCAGGUGCGGUGGCUCACGCCUAUAAUCCCAGCACUUUGGGAGGCAGAAGCAGGCAGAUCACUUGAGGUCAG
rnacentral:lncRNA from 10 species